CCUACGGGAGGCAGCAGUGAGGAAUAUUGGUCAAUGGACGAGAGUCUGAACCAGCCAAGUAGCGUGAAGGAUGACUGCCCUAUGGGUUGUAAACUUCUUUUAUAUGGGAAUAAAGUGUUCUACGUGUGGGACUUUGUAUGUACCAUAUGAAUAAGGACCGGCUAACUCCGUGCCAGCAGCCGCGGUAAUACGGAGGGUCCGAGCGUUAUCCGGAUUUAUUGGGUUUAACGGGAGCGUAGGUGGCUUGUUAAGCCAGUUGUGAAAGUUUCGGGCUCAACCGUAAACUUGCAGUGGAAACUGGCAGGCUUGAGUACAGGAGAGGUGGGCGGAAUUCGUGGUGUAGCGGUGAAAUGCUUAGAUAUGACGAAGAACUCCGAUUGCGAAGGCAGCUCACUGGACUGCAACUGACACUGAGGCUCGAAAGUGUGGGUAUCAAACAGGAUUAGAUACCCGGGUAGUC
rnacentral:rRNA from 1 species